rnacentral:lncRNA from 13 species
CCAGUCCUGCUUCCUUCCCUCCCAACUUGGGUGUUAAUCAAGAGAGCACUUCCUCAGAACUUCCUGUAUCCUAAUUUCCAUCUCUCCGCCUACUUUCCAGGACCUGACCCACAACAGUCAGUGGACAUAAAAAGAUACCUUGCCAGCUGGGUGUGGUGGCUCACACUUGUAAUCCCAGCAUUUUGGGAGGCCGAGGGUCUUGCUCUGUCACCCAGGCUGGAGUGCAGUGGUGCCAUCAUGGCUCACUGCUCAUUGCAUGGCGUCAUCACGGUUCACUGCAGCCUUAACUUCCUGGGCUCAAGUGAUCUUUUUGAGUAGCUGGGACUACAGGUCCCUGAAGAACGCAUGGGCUCUAUGCAUUGGGAAGAUGAUGUCCAAUAGAUAAACAAUUCGUUAACUUCCAUUUACAUAAGGACUCUGUGAACACGGGAGGUUCCCUUUUUCCUUCAUAGAGGAAAAUGGUCUGUUUACUGCAG